CCACUUUUGAGAUUGCCCUGGUCCGCACCAUUCAAACCUGGAAGUAAAGGGCCUUGACCAAGUAAACACAGGUUACAAAUGACACUUGUGCUUACAUUCUUCUGCUAGCAAGACUUUAAUCGCAUAACCACACAAGCCUUGAGGGGAAUUUGGAAGUGUAGCCUACUCCUGUAUUCAGGGUGAAGGGAAGAAUAGAUUUUGCUUGGUAGCAGCAGAUGUUUUUAAAUUGCUAUUUGUAAGUUGAAAACAACUAAGGCUCAAAGAGGUUGACCUGCUUACGAUCACCCAGUCAAACAUGAAAAAUCAGAAUUAGAAGUCAGGAUCCUAAAUGCUGGACCAAGAUCUUUUCCCUCACGUGUUGCCUAGAAGUGAAGUGAUAGCAGAAUACUGGCUUUGGAGACACAUCACCUGUGGAUUUCCUAGGCACGGCCUGCAUGAAUCUGGAUAGUCAUAGCACAGCUCAGAAUUUGACAUUCUUGUCCUGCUUUACUUGAGUCAGUCUAGACCAGAGAGGGGAUCCUCCUAGUGUUUGAGGAAAGGCUAAAUGCUACCUUGCAGACAUUUUAAUGUAAGCAAUGUGUUUGGCUUUCCAACGCCUCUAAAAACAAAUCUGAGAACAAUCUUAAUAAAAUCCAUACCCACGUUGUAAGUUGAAGCACUGUUCACAGGCAUUAAUAUAGCCAGGGUGUCCCUGUUUCUUUCCUCAGUUUCUCCCUAUCCAGUGGCUCAUUUAAUGACUGUUGAUGGAGAGUUUAUGAUGUGGCGGGCACAGGGCUACACAGAUGAUCAAGACAGACACAAGCCCAGCCAUGAUGGAGCUCGUUGUAGAGAAUAAUUGUGGAAGGCCUCUUCGGACAUAGCUUUUGGGAAAGCAUUUCUGAGCGAUAAUAUUUAGGCUGAGCCCCAAAGGAUGAUAAUGGCUAAAGUAUGCUUAUUAUACCCACAUAACCUAUGAGGUGGGUUCCUGCUGUCAUCCCCACUUUACACGUAAGGAAACUGAAGAAUAAAGAAGUUAAGUGGCUAAAUAAUUUGCAAAGUGUCACACAGCUAGUGAACGAGGCCAAGAUUCAAACUCAAGGAGUCUAGACUUGUGGAAUCACUGUGUUGUACACCUGAAACUAUGUGAUAAUGCCAACCAUACUUCAGUUAAAAAAAAAACUCAAAGGGUCUAGUUCCAGAGGCUACCCUUGUACCAUCACGUUACACUUCCAUACCACCAAAGGAAGACUCAAAACUUUCCAGUCUCCAUGAACAAUUUUUCUCUCCUUUAAUCAAAAACAAAAGCAACAAACCACCUCCUUCUCUUAGCUGAAUAGUCUUAACCUAAGAUUUCUAGAUCCUUCCCUACUCCAGCGGAGCCAUGGAUAGAAUUUAGUGGAGCUGAUGAAUUUAGAUGUAUGUAUAUAUAAUAUUUUACAGAAUACUGUAUUACAUAUAUUGUAUAUUUAAUCAACUUUUACUGAAAUUUAACAUUUUAUUAUGAAUGUAACAAAACCUCAGUAUUCUUAGCAGUUUAUGUGACUUUGUCACUAGAAACACAAGGUUUAAUUGCAUAAAGAUUUCUUGAAACAUCAUCGGCACUCA